rnacentral:rRNA from 1 species
UAUGAGUUUUUGCUAUUCCUGGUCUUAGCGGCGAACGGGUGAGUAACGCGUGAAUAAUCUGCCCUUGAAAUCGGGAUACCAUUCCGAAAGGAAUGCUAAUACCGAAUAACGUUACGAAACGCAGGUUUCAUAACCAAAGUUGAAUCUUUGGAUUCUUCGUUCAAGGAUGAGUUCGCGUCCUAUUAGCUAGUUGGCGAGGUAACGGCUCACCAAGGCUGUGAUGGGUAGCCGGCCUGAGAGGGCGUACGGCCACAUUGGGACUGAGACACGGCCCAGACUCCUACGGGAGGCAGCAGUAGGGAAUCUUCCGCAAUGGGCGAAAGCCUGACGGAGCGAUGCCACGUGGAUGACGGAGGCCUUCGGGUCGUAAAAUCCUGUCAGGAGGGACGAUGGUCGAUUUUCGGAUUGAUUGACGGUACCUCCAGAGGAAGCUCCGGCCAACUACGUGCCAGCAGCCGCGGUAAUACGUAGGGAGCAAGCGUUGUUCGGAUUUACUGGGCGUAAAGAGUGCGUAGGUGGCUAUACAAGUCAAGGGUGAAAUCUCUACUUUCAAGGUAGAAACUGCCUUUGAUACUGUAUGGCUAGAGGGCAAGAGGGGGAAAUGGAACUCUGGGAGUAGCGGUGAAAUGCGUAGAUAUCCAGAGGAACGCCAGUAGCGAAGGCGGUUUCCUGGCUUGUUUCUGACACUGAGGCACUAAAGCUAGGGGAGCGAUCGGGAUUAGAGACCCCGGUAGUCCUAGCCCUAAACGAU